rnacentral:rRNA from 1 species
GAUGAACGCUGACAGAAUGCUUAACACAUGCAAGUCUACUUGAAUUUGGGUUUUUUAACUUAGAUUUGGGUGGCGGACGGGUGAGUAACGCGUAAAGAACUUGCCUCACAGUUAGGGACAACAUUUGGAAACGAAUGCUAAUACCUGAUAUUAUGAAUAUAUGGCAUCAUAUAAUUAUGAAAGCUAUAAGCGCUGUGAGAGAGCUUUGCGUCCCAUUAGCUAGUUGGAGAGGUAACGGCUCACCAAGGCGAUGAUGGGUAGCCGGCCUGAGAGGGUGAACGGCCACAAGGGGACUGAGACACGGCCCGUACUCCUACGGGAGGCAACAGUGGGGAAUAUUGGACAAUGGACCAAGAGUCUGAUCCAGCAAUUCUGUGUGCACGAUGACGUUUUUCGGAAUGUAAAGUGCUUUCAGUUGGGAAGAAAAAAAUGACGGUACCAACAGAAGAAGUGACGGCUAAAUACGUG